UUGCACGGUGAGCUGGGUGUGGCCGCAGAGACCAGCGAGAAGCGACUGUUUACUAAAAACACAGGUCCGUGCGAAGCCGUAAGGCGAUGUAUACGGACUGACGCCUGCCCGGUGCUGGAACGUUAAGGGGACCGGUUAGUCACAUUUCGGUGUGGCGAAGCUGAGAACUUAAGCGCCAGUAAACGGCGGUGGUAACUAUAACCAUCCUAAGGUAGCGAAAUUCCUUGUCGGGUAAGUUCCGACCUGCACGAAUGGCGUAACGACUUCUCGACUGUCUCAACCAUAGGCCCGGUGAAAUUGCACUACGAGUAAAGAUGCUCGUUUCGCGCAGCAGGACGGAAAGACCCCGGGACCUUUACUAUAGCUUGAUAUUGGUGUUCGGUUCGGCUUGUGUAGGAUAGGUGGGAGACUGUGAGCCGGUAGCGCCAGCUAUCGGGGAGUCGUCGUUGAAAUACCACUCUGGUCGUGCUGGAUGUCUAACCUCGGUCCGUGAUCCGGAUCAGGGACAGUGUCUGGUGGGUAGUUUAACUGGGGCGGUUGCCUCCUAAAGGGUAACGGAGGCGCCCAAAGGUUCCCUCAGCCUGGUUGGCAAUCAGGUGUUGAGUGUAAGUGCACAAGGGAGCUUGACUGUGAGACUGACGGGUCGAGCAGGUACGAAAGUAGGGACUAGUGAUCCGGCGGUGGCUUGUGGAAGCGCCGUCGCUCAACGGAUAAAAGGUACCCCGGGGAUAACAGGCUGAUCUUCCCCAAGAGUCCAUAUCGACGGGAUGGUUUGGCACCUCGAUGUCGGCUCGUCGCAUCCUGGGGCUGGAGUCGGUCCCAAGGGUUGGGCUGUUCGCCCAUUAAAGCGGUACGCGAGCUGGGUUUAGAACGUCGUGAGACAGUUCGGUCCCUAUCCGCUGCGCGCGUAGGAGUCUUGAGAAGGGCUGUCCCUAGUACGAGAGGACCGGGACGGACGAACCUCUGGUGUGCCAGUUGUCCUGCCAAGGGCAUGGCUGGUUGGCUACGUUCGGGAGGGAUAACCGCUGAAAGCAUCUAAGCGGGAAGCCUGCUUCGAGAUGAGGGCUCCCACCCACUUGAUGGGGUAAGGCUCCCAGUAGACGACUGGGUUGAUAGGCCGGAUGUGGAAGCCCUGUAAGGGGUGGAGCUGACCGGUACUAAUAGGCCGAGGGCUUGUCCUC
rfam:Streptomyces paucisporeus strain CGMCC 4.2025 genome assembly, contig: Ga0079900_176